rnacentral:rRNA from 1 species
CCUACGGGAGGCUGCAGUGGGGAAUAUUGCGCAAUGGGGGAAACCCUGACGCAGCAAUACCGCGUGAAUGAAGAAGGUCUUCGGAUCGUAAAGUUCUGUUAUUGGGGAAGAACAAAGACGGUACCCAAGGAGAAAGUCCCGGCUAACUACGUGCCAGCAGCCGCGGUAAUACGUAGGGGACAAGCGUUGUCCGGAUUUACUGGGCGUAAAGGGCACGCAGGCGGUUUUUUAAGUCAGAUGUGAAAGGUCCCGGCUCAACCGGGGAACGGCAUUUGAAACUGGAGAACUUGAGUAUUGGAGAGGCAAGUGGAAUUCCUAGUGUAGCGGUGAAAUGCGUAGAGAUUAGGAGGAACACCAGUGGCGAAGGCGGCUUGCUGGACAAAUACUGACGCUGAGGUGCGAAAGCGUGGGGAGCAAACAGGAUUAGAUACCCCGGUAGUC